rnacentral:tRNA from 1 species
GCAAUGGCUGUUCAGUGGUAGAAUUCUCACCUUCCAUGGGAGAGACCUGGGUUGGAUUCCCAGCCAAUGCC